rnacentral:misc_RNA from 1 species
GGGCUUUCUUGAUUCAGGAGAAAGUUGGGGUUUUAAGAAUUUUAAUUGGGACUCUCUGAGUUUCCAUUUGACUAAUUACACCUUUUGCAAAUUGUCAGAUCAGAUAGACGGGUGCAUGGAAAAUCCAUUCAAAAUCAUACAAAAGCUAGCUAGGCGCCUGUUCAAACCCUUAUAUAUCCAUCCGGACAAAGACCAAAAUAAGCAUUGUUGUGCAGUAGACAAAGUGAAGGUUUCAUAGGAUCUAAAGAAUUCUCAAGCUGUUGGAACUUGGAAGUUUCUAUUCAAGCAUUCCGUCAAAUAAUAGCUGUUGUAGGUGAAGUGAGAUCCUCCCUGGUGUUGGUUGGUACACCUAACAGACAUAUAAUGCCCAUGCCUAGACCCUGCCUAUUGAAUGCUCCUUGUCAUCAUGGAAAAAGAUGCUUUGACCCAUAAUCUUAAACAGUUGAACACAGCAUUUUACAGUCUCGCAUUGUAUCCCUUACCUUGCCAACUUUUGCAACUUCCGGGGUCAUAAUCCUCAAGGGGCUUGGGCCUAAAAUUGCACCGCUACAGCACUGUUUCUGAGUAUAAUGCUCAAGAAUGUUACAGCAUUGUUUUCACACUUAAAAAAGUCCUAGAAUGUUACAGCACGUCUACAUAUUGAAUCCUAAAACGUUGCAGAAUGCUACAACAGUGUUUGGCUGUUUGCGAUGAUAAUACCUGUCAUUUUUCUCAAGCAAUCAUCCCAUUUUAUCCACACAAAUCCCACUUUUCCUUCUUGUUUUGAAGUACCGGUGUAAGAUUAUGAGUACAAGAGAAACAAAGCAAACAAAAGAUAAAAUACAUUAAUAACAUAUUGUUAAGGAUAUAUCACCAUGGAGCAAGAACCUCUUCCUGGAACUUGAGCUCAUAGCUUUCAGCUUUUGACUUGAGACUCUCAAUAUCAGCACCAAACUUGUCAUAGGCUGCCUUUAAUUCCACAAGCUUUGCUUCAAGAUUUCUUAUCUCAUCUUCUGCGUGCACUUGUUCGCUUCUAGCUUCUAUAUACCUACGAGUCUUUGUGGCACCGUCUGAAUCAAAAGCAAGGCUUACAAGCUGGCUCAGCUUGGCACGUAAAAAUCCAACAUUCAUCCCAAAAUGUUCAGAGGCUUUCAGUGUCUUGUCCCAAGUAUUGAAUUCAUUCCGUGGGGUGGUAAGGUUACAAGCUCUUAUGGCAUCAGCGAUAUUAACAAUUUCAGAAAUGAUUCCUGCAAUCAACUUAAAAUUGAUGCCCUUGAUAAGAUUUUCAUGAAGAAAAGCAUUCUGACUGCAGCAGAGCUGGUAAUAUUUCCUUCGAACAUCUUCUGAUAAUUCAGAAUCUAGAACUAGUCCAUCAACGAGAAUGUUGAAAUUCUCAAAGUCUUUGACAUUUUCGAAUUGAAUAGCAGGCAAGGAUAACUUGAAACCUUCUAGAACUUCUGAGCCAACUUCUUCACUGUCAUUUUCAGAUUGCUCAGCUACUUGCCCAAUUUUUGGAACUAAUAUUCUUGACCUGCCAGAUUUCUUAUGUCUCUUUUGGACAACAGCUAAUGGAAGUGACCUUGGACGUUUCCUCUUUGUACUUUUACAAGGUACAGUCACCAUUUCGGCAUUAUCUGCAUCAUUUUGUUUCAUUUGAGGAACCAAAGUUAGUAGACCCAAAGCCCCAUCCACUUCAGUCAAAUCAUUUGCCCUUAUGAUGUAAACCUGCAAAAUUAAAUUAGAUACUUGUUGUGGACCAAGACCUUGAACAAUGCAUUUAACUAAAAGAAAUAUAAUAUUUCAGAAUUCUGCCUCUUUCUUUCUCUCUCACAGACACACACAUGCACGCAUGCAUGCUGGGAAACUAGCAAUCUAACCACAUUCUACUAAGAGAAGCUUUCUCUAACUUUGAUAGAAUUAAGCACAAACGGUAAAGGAAGGACACAAUACCAAACACAGUCUAGCAAUUAUGGUUGCUAUCUUAGCACGGCAAGCUAUGACUAAGAUCUCACAGUUAUUAAGCCUCCAAAAAUUCUCUUCUAUUUCUAUAAAAUGUUCUAGAUCCUCCAAAGAGUGGUUUACUUGGUAUUUCCACAGACUUCUCUGGCAACACCGCCUCAAUCAAACUGUGCAGGCUAGUUACCUCAUUAGGUACAAAACUAAAGUAAAUUGGUGUUCUCCUGCACAUGAUGCAUUCUUCAACAUGCAAAGUGUCCCUCUUGAAGAAAUUUAACAGAAGUUGAUUUGGUAAUUGGUUCCUCAGCACAUUAAAUGGCCACUACUUUUGGCAGCUCCAUUGCCCUUAUGUAAAACUUCUACAUCUAUCCCAUUCAUUCAUGCGCUCUGAUCAAGGCUCCCAGAAAGCAUAAACAUACCUUCAAAUCCCUUUACUCUUGACUAUCUCCCCUGCCUGCCCACAAAUUCAAGUUUUUUCAGGGAGGCACUUCAGAAAACUUUAGGUACUGUUCUCCAAAAGAGCAUUCCAUGCAUCAAUAGCUCCAAAAUGAUAGAAAUAAAAGAAGAACAAACGCAAUGCUCAUUUUCACCACUUUUCUGGAUGCUGGGGCAUGGCACACUAUUCUGGAAAGUAACAUUUGCAUAAAAAACACUGAUACUAAUACUAUAACUGCAAAAAUGGAGGGAAGUGAUUCUAAUCUUUGUAAUAUCUUAAAUCCUACAGCAUAAGAUACUAUAGUUAUUAAAGG